UACGGGGGGUGCAAGCGUUGCUCGGAAUUAUUUGGGCGUAAAGGGCAGGUAGGUGGUCUCGUUUGUCUGGGGUGAAAGCCUUGAGCUUAACUCAAGAAGUGCCUCGGAAACGGUGAGACUGGAGGCUUGGAGAGGGUCGCGGAAUUCCCGGUGUAGCGGUGAAAUGCGUAGAGAUCGGGAGGAACAUCCGUGGCGAAGGCGACUACCUGGACCAGCACUGACACUGAGGCACGAAAGCGUGGGGAGCAAACAGG
rnacentral:rRNA from 1 species